UACGUAGGGUGCGAGCGUUGUCCGGAAUUACUGGGUGUAAAGGGUCCGCAGGCGGGCAGGAAAGUCAGAGGUGAAAGACUUCGGCUCAACCGAAGAAUUGCCUUUGAUACUUCUUGUCUUGAAUCCGAGAGAGGAUAGUGGAAUUCAUGGUGUAGCGGUGAAAUGCGUAGAGAUCAUGAAGAACACCAGUAGCGAAGGCGGCUAUCUGGCUCGGUAUUGACGCUCAGGGACGAAAGCGUGGGUAGCAAACAGG
rnacentral:rRNA from 1 species